UGAGUGAAAGAGUUACAAAAGUGUUUUGACUGAACAUCUACCCUAUCACAAUUGCUUGAAUUGUCAUUAACUUUGUCAUUUUUGCCACACAGGUGAACUUUGAGGAUUACAAUGGUGUAAUCACUUUUGUAAAUACUGGCAAUGUGCACUGGAAGUUUGUGUAUCUGCAUGCUAUAUCACAAACCAUUUUUGUUGUUGACCCUCAAUCUGGCACUAAUGAAAUGGAAGAAGCAAAAAAGGCGUGUUACAGAUUUGGGGAAUACUUCAAAAUGAGACAACGUCAGUAUGGAAAAGAGGACUGGGUGAAAGCCAAAUGGAAACCUGGCAAAAUCCACCACACAUUUCAAAGAGAUGGCACGAGCUGUGGUUGUUUUUGUAAUGCAGGCAAGGGUGUCUACAGAUAUUAACAUGUCAAAUUUAAGACUUUUAUUAGGAAAACUUUGACAUUCUAAGACUUUUUAUUAAGGACCCGCAGCCACCCUGGUAACUGAAUGUUGGUUUACAAAAUAUUCAUGACAAAACUGGGAACACCAAGGUCAUGGCUUAUUUUUCCACACAAAUAUGAAAACAUGUAUAACUUGAAUGCACUGUACUGUAAAUUGCUUUGGAUUAAAGUGUCUGUCAAAUGCACAUUGCACUUAUAUUUUCUCAUAGUUCAUUUUGUAUUU